ACUUCAUGGAGAGUUUGAUCCUGGCUCAGGACGAACGCUGGCGGCGUGCCUAAUACAUGCAAGUCGAGCGGACCGACGGGAGCUUGCUCCCUUAGGUCAGCGGCGGACGGGUGAGUAACACGUGGGUAACCUGCCUGUAAGACUGGGAUAACUCCGGGAAACCGGGGCUAAUACCGGAUGCUUGAUUGAGCCGCAUGGUUCAAUUAUAAAAGGUGGCUUUCAGCUACCACUUACAGAUGGACCCGCGGCGCAUUAGCUAGUUGGUGAGGUAACGGCUCACCAAGGCGACGAUGCGUAGCCGACCUGAGAGGGUGAUC
rnacentral:rRNA from 1 species